rnacentral:rRNA from 1 species
UACGUAGGGGGCAAGCGUUGUUCGGAUUCACUGGGCGUAAAGGGUGCGUAGGUGGCCAGGUAAGUUCGGUGUGAAAGCUCGGAGCUUAACUCCGAAAUGGCAUUGAAUACUAUCUGGCUAGAGGGUCGGAGGGGAGACUGGAAUUCUCGGUGUAGCAGUGAAAUGCGUAGAUAUCGAGAGGAACACCAGUGGCGAAGGCGAGUCUCUGGACGACACCUGACACUGAGGCACGAAAGCCAGGGGAGCAAACAGG